UACGUAGGGGGCAAGCGUUGUCCGGAAUCAUUGGGCGUAAAGCGCGUGUAGGCGGCUCGAUAAGUCCGCUCUGAAAGUCCAGGGCUCAACCCUGGGAUGCGGGUGGAUACUGUCGGGCUCGAGUCCGGAAGAGGCGAGUGGAAUUCCCGGUGUAGCGGUGGAAUGCGUAGAGAUCCGGAAGAACACCGGUGGCGAAGGCGGUCUGCUGGGCAGUGGCUCGCAAGGGCCAAUAGCCGACACUGAGGCGCGACAGCGUGGGGAGCAAAC
rnacentral:rRNA from 1 species